AGAGUUUGAUCAUGGCUCAGAGCGAACGUUAGCGGCGGGCCUAACACAUGCAAGUCGAACGAGAAUGAGGGCUUCGGCUCUCUAGUAAAGUGGCGGACGGGUGCGUAACACGUGGGUAAUCUACCUUCCGGCGGGGGACAACAGUCCGAAAGGAUUGCUAAUACCGCAUACGUCAGCGGCGCCUACGGGCGCUGUUGGGA
rnacentral:rRNA from 1 species